UACGUAGGGUGCGAGCGUUGUCCGGAAUUAUUGGGCGUAAAGAGCUUGUAGGCGGUCUGUCGCGUCUGCUGUGAAAAUCCGGGGCUCAACCCCGGACUUGCAGUGGGUACGGGCAGACUAGAGUGCGGUAGGGGAGACUGGAAUUCCUGGUGUAGCGGUGAAAUGCGCAGAUAAUCAGGAGGAACACCGGUGGCGAAGGCGGGUCUCUGGGCCGAUACUGACGCUGAGGAGCGAAAGCCAGGGGAGCGAAUGGG
rnacentral:rRNA from 1 species